AAUUUAUUCAAGGAGACUGAAAAUCUUCUCAUAUGACCUCUGACCAGAAAUCAGAUAAAUGGAAUGGAUUAUAUUGUAUUUAACAGGGCUGGUCUGUAAAAUGUGCUGAUUUCCAAAGUGCUCCACCUUCGAAACAACCUCCUCCCUCUUGACAUGUCCCUCCCUUUCAUUCCCUCUCUCUUUUUCUCACACCCUUCGUUCUCAGACAAACAUUUCUAAGAGUGAACAUAAUGUUUGUGGUUUAAACGGGACAGUCUGCCUCUUAUGACAGCAUCAUCCGAUAACAGCAACAGUUCACCCAACGAACGUGGAAUAUACAGAACAACAAUCUACAAUAACAGUAGCAGUUGGAGGCUCUGAGCUGAGGCAGUGAGCGGAGGCAGCAGCAAGGAAAAGGAGACAAGACAAGAAGAGUGGAGGAAGAAGAGAGCAACAGCAAAGCCAGGCAGACGAAGAGACCCUGCUCAGAUUGGCAUACGAGCAUUCAAGGGCUGGGAAAGUCCAAACAGGUUUAGGCAGCAAGAAUCAGUUGAAUACAGGGAAGGGUGGGAAUCGGUGCUGGGUUGUUUACAUUGGUCUGCCACAAUAAAGAGGGGUGUUCAGAUGAUUUGGGCAUGGGGUGGUGGGGGCGUAGGGAGGAGCUGUUUCAUGGUGGGUGUGGGUGUGGGUGUUUAUGUGUGUGUCUGUGUAUGUGCUUUCCAAUUGCUAUGAAAUCUGAGCACAGCCUGGGAUUUGAUGGGAAGAGGCGUUGCCAUGGAGACUGGGCUUGCAUGUAUUCCUGUAACCAAUCCCUCCCAUUAUAUACAUUGAUUUUUGGCAUUUACUGUACAGAGCAUCAAUAAGGAAUGAUCAGGCAGGUAAUAACAACUUCAAAAAAUGUAUGCUGUUUAAUUAUGAAUAGAGCAAUAAUGUGGGUCAUUAAUGUCAAAGCCAACAAAAGAUGGAUUAGAGGUCUGUGAGUGAAAGUAUAUGUAUUCUGGCGUCUGUAAGAAGGAUUGGUAACACUUUACAGUAUAAUUAGGUUAACAUUACAAUUUGUUAACAUUAGUUAAGUACAUUAGUUAACAUGGGCUAACAAUGAAAACCCGUUUUGAAGCAUUUAUUAAUUUAAGAUAAUGUUAAUUUCAACAUUUACUAGUGCAUUCUUAAAAUUAACAAUUUGUAUUUUUAAAUAUAAUUCAUUGGACCCAAGUUAACAUGAACAAUUAGGAGUUGUAUUUUUGUUAACUAAUGUGUAAAAAGACAAAUACUGUAACAAAUGUAUUGCUCAUUGUUAGUUAAUGCAUUAACUAGUGUUAACUAAUGGGAAAGUGUUAUCAAAUAAUUUUGUAUGCUGGUUGCGAAUUGCAAAUAUAUGUGUUACGGUUCCCUGGAGAAAACUGUUUUGUUCGGAGGUUGCGCUUUUCUAGAUCAGGAGAAUUAAUGAAGAUUCAGUUAUGUUUCAUAAAUCGAUUUAAAUUGUCUAAAAUGCCUGAAGAGAAAUAGAAACAGUAAGAGGAUAUAUAAUAAUAAUGUUAAUACUAAAGACCAGACAAUUUGAUCUUAUAAAGUUUUUUAUAUAUUUAAGUUAACAUAUCAUGUGUGAUUCCAAUUUUAAGCAUAUCACAUAUAUAAAUAUUAAUUUAAAGUAAAUUAUAAUGAUUAAUAAUAUUAUAUGAUGUUAUAUGAUAUUUAUUUAAAAAAAAUUUAAAGAUGUGGUAUAUUUUAAAAAGAUACUCUCACAAAUUGCAUCUGUUCUUUUUGUCAGCAGUACUCUAAUGGUAACGGUAGUGCAUUUGUGGCAGUUUAUUUGUGAUUUCAAUGCAACAGUUUUCAGAGAGAUGAGAAGUGGUCACGACACAAUAUGUGGAGGCAGAGCUCCGUUCUGAACAUUGCUGCUGUAUGAGUAUGCUGCCUAUGACUGGUCUGCAACUGAUUUGAGGAAAGAAUAACUUAAUGUAACAAAUUUUAAUGUUUUGAACAAGUUAAUUGUAGAUUUUUAAAGGGCUGAGAUGAAAAGGACAAAUUCUCUCUGUUUCUAGGGAGAAAGGUCUGAUAAUCAAGAGACUUAACUUGAGGUCAUAUUUCAAGACACUUUUAAAACAACUGUCCAUUUUACUCUACGUUUAUUUUUAUUGCUUAAACAACUGAGAUAUUUAAGAAUCAGUAACACUUUGCAAUAAGGUUUCAUUUGCUAAUAUUACUUAACUACAUUAGUUAAAAGGAUACUCCCCCCCAAAAUGAAAAUUUAGUCAUUAAUCCCCCAUGUCGUUCCAAACCCGUAAAAGCUUUGUUCGUCUUCAGAAGACAACAAAAAGAUAUUUUGGAUGAAAACUGGGAGGCUUGUGGCUGUCCCAUUAACUGCCAAGUAAAAUAGAAAAUAAAAGUAAAGACAUCGUCAGAAUAGUCCAUCUGCCAUCAGUGGUUCAACCGAAAUGUUAUGAAGUGACGAGAAUACUUUUUGUACGCGAAGAAAACAAAAAUAAUGACUUUAUAAACAAUUCUUCUGCUCUGUGUGUCUCUGCAUCACCGUAGCGCCAUUUUAGAGAAUAUCUGCUGAACGCAAGCAAUUUAUGCUCUUCUGUGUCAGCCGCGCUGCACAGAUGUACUGUUUUCUUUCAAAUCAAAGUGUAAAUACUGUACAUGCAGAAAACGUAUCGUUGUGUCGCGGUUGACACAGAAGACUGUAUGCUGCUUGCGUUCAGCGGAUAUUCUCCAAAAUGGCACUAUAGUUUUGAAUUAUCAAGAAACCUUAGGUAUGAUUUUUCUUUUCCCAUCAUUUAUAUAUCUUUUUAAUGGCACACUAUUUCCCCUUUUACAGUCAUGCGUCCCAGGUCCAGAUUACAGGCUAAACGCGGCCUUCCCACCAUCAGGGAGGGCUAUGAGGAGCUGGUGCAGGACCUGAACCAGACCAACAGCCAGCACACCACCACACAGGACUACUUCCUUUCUAUCUGCCAUCUGGCCCGGCCCACCUUUCCUCUGCAUGAGCCCGACUGUGACAUCCUCUCCAUCGGCCCUUUGGAUUCUCCAAAGCCCUGCCUACGACUGCAACGCCUGCGUCAGCAUCUGCAGCCUCCGCAGCCCCACACCUCCACAAGCAGUGAUGAGACAGAUGAACAAGCCCAUAAAGAGAAAGAUACCACCAGAUCUGCUCCGUCAGAACCACUGCAGGCCCAGGCUGCCCCAGAGGAGGACAACGGAUGCAGAGGUGACAUCCCAGGCCCGGCAGAUCCACUGGAGUAUCUCUAUAGCCACAGAGGUGCACUAGCGCUCUCCAGCAGACGGGGCAGCAUUCCCCCGCGCCGGCCACGCAGUGACACCUUCCCAUGCUGUUCCUCGGCGCCUGAUGUCCAGCGGAAAAGCAGCUGCCCAGAGCUUUGUCUGCCUGAAACGGUCCCUGCGGUGAUGGUCCUGCAGCGGUCACCACUCAGCAGGAAGAAGCUGGAUGAAGGCAGCCUGGCUGCACGCAGUGGCAUUCCCAACAAGCUUGACGGCACCCCUGCUGGUUGGAGGGGAAAGAGCAGUCGUUGCAUGGACAAACAGACUAUAGUGUCCCACUGGAUCUCAGAGUGCCGCAGCGCAUGGAAGGAAGCCCGCAUUCGCGCAUGCAUGCUGCCCGCCAUUGCUGAGAAGUAAUCUACGGCUGCAAAAAUCUCUUUCCAGUGAGGGUGAAUAUCACGUAGAGUAACAUGGAUUAUUGUGAAAUUAUGACUUUGCACUUCAGGUUUAUAUGCAUAUACAUUUUUGAUGUAUUUUUAAACUUGUGACCCUAUCGAUGGUGCCGUGUCGAUACCACACCAUAGUGUAGAGUUACAAUGAAUGUCAAUGAUGAAUGAGUCAGUCUAGUAAUGUCCAGUCGUGAUCAAUAAAUGCAUUGAUUGUUGGAUGCCUUUAACAUUGUUUGGUGAGGUUUAAAAAUAAAAAGCAACAUUUAAAUUGCAGUUUAAUAUACAAAAAUCAGUGUAGUUUAAAGGAUACAGCAAUGCAUAAUAUUCAUAAAUAAGAAUCUCACUGCAUGUGUCCACAGCUAUAUUUGGCUGGGAAGACCCAGGUUUUAUCAAAUUUGCAUAUUAGGCAGCCAGUGAUGCAGAAUGAAUAUGCCAUGCUUCCUUGAAAUAUUGUCAAACAUCUUAUGACAUUUCCAAGAUUUUUGGGAAACGGGUUCAGCAAACAAUCUGACUAGGAUUAGGAUGCAUUUCCACCACAAAUAUGUUCAGAGAUAUUAUGUCCAACUGUUAUUUCUAUAUAAUGUCUCAAACAAUUGCUUCUUUGUUCACAUUAAUAGAUUGGUAUUUUGCAACAGAAUGACUAAGGAAACAAGCUUUUAUAAUUCACUACCGCCUUCUGACAACAAAGACAAAAUUAGUCAUCGUGUUUGUUUUCUGGCCCUUGUUUUGCAAUUUAAAAAAUAGAGUGAACUGGAUAGUCCUGUUGGAGGAUAAAUGAUUGAAUGUCCUGGUUAGGAAUCACUGUUGUUCAACAAACGACCAUACAAUAAAAAUAAAAAAAAAUCUGACCUACAUCAUCUUGAUAUUCAGAACUAUGGCAAAAGGCUAAAGUACACCUGCACUGUUAUCAUGUAAGACUGUUUGUACACACGCAGAAAAUCCUGUUUUCUCUGCUUUGAUUUGGUGUUUCAGUAUUUUAAGAUCGUCUUACUGUUAAAAGAUUAAUUAGUAUGGCUGCAUGUGAAUUUGUAAAUUUUGUAUUAUGCAUAUGAAAUUUCUUUAAAUUAUUAUAACGUAUGUAAUGAUUUCAGAGAAAAUGUAUAUUACACUAUAUGAGAACCCAUACCCGUACAACCCCCCCCCCACCACACACACACACAAUUUUUUUAAAUGAAUAAAAUGUCUGUGUUUUAUGUAUGAAUUCUGUGUGUUUUAUCCCCCGUUCCUUCAAGUAUAUUAAAAAUUACAAUGAUUCUUCUGAUAAAGGCUGUUAACCUGAUGACUUUCAGAAUCGAUUUAAAUCAAUUUUAUUGAUCCAUGGGAAAAAGCUAAUGAAUAUUAUGGUUUAGCAUAAUGUCCUAUACUGUAAUUUCAAAUUAAUUUUUUUUUUUUACAGUGAUAAGAAGCUUCGGUUUGGAUAGUAAUUUGAAAUAAUAUUUGUAUA
ensembl:lncRNA